rnacentral:rRNA from 1 species
CAAGCUAACGCUUGAAUACAUUAGCAUGGAAUAAUGAAAUAGGACGUUCGAUCCUAUUUUGUUGGUUUCUAGGUUUGACGUAAUGAUUAAUAGGGAUAGUUGGGGGCAUUAGUAUUCAAUUGUCAGAGGUGAAAUUCUUGGAUUUAUUGAAGACUAACUACUGCGAAAAGCAUUUGCCAAGGAUGUUUUCAUUAAUCAAGAACGAAAGUUAGGGGAUCGAAGACGAUCAGAUACCGUCGUAGUCUUAACCAUAAACUAUGCCGACUAGGGAUCGGAUGAUGUUAAUUUUUUAAUGACUCAUUCGGCGCCUUACG